AGGGUUUGAUCCUGGCUCAGAUUGAACGCUGGCGGCAGGCCUAACACAUGCAAGUCGAGCGGUAACAGGGAAAGCUUGCUUUCUGCUGACGAGCGGCGGACGGGUGCGUAACACGUAGGAAUCUGCCUGGUAGUGGGGGAUAGCCCGGAGAAAUCCGGAUUAAUACCGCAUACGCCCUAAGGGGGAAAGGAGGGGACCCAUUUCUUUUAUUAGGAGUGAGCCUUUCGCUAUCAGAUGAGCCUGCGUCGGAUUAGCUUGUUGGUGGGGUAAAGGCCUACCAAGGCGACGAUCCGUAGCUGGUCUGAGAGGAUGAUCAGCCACACUGGGACUGAGACACGGCCCAGACUCCUACGGGAGGCAGCAGUGGGGAAUAUUGCACAAUGGGCGAAAGCCUGAUGCAGCCAUGCCGCGUGUGUGAAGAAGGCCUUAGGGUUGUAAAGCACUUUCAGCGAGGAGGAAAGGAUUAAAGUUAAUACCUUUAGUCUGUGACGUUACUCGCAGAAGAAGCACCGGCUAACUCCGUGCCAGCAGCCGCGGUAAUACGGAGGGUGCGAGCGUUAAUCGGAAUUACUGGGCGUAAAGCGUGCGUAGGCGGCUACUUAAGUUGGAUGUGAAAGCCCCGGGCUNAACCUGGGAACUGCAUCC
rnacentral:rRNA from 1 species